AGCAGCCGCGGUAAUUCCAGCUCCAAUAGCGUAUAUUAAAGUUGUUGCAGUUAAAAAGCUCGUAGUUGAAUUUCGGGAUUAGUACGUUGGUCGUGCCUUCGGUACGUACUGGUGUUACUGAUUCCUACCUUCUGACGAACCAUCAUGUCAUUUAUUUGGUGUGGCGGGGAAUCAGGACUGUUACUUUGAAAAAUUAGAGUGUUUAAAGCAGGCUCGCGCUUGAAUACAUUAGCAUGGAAUAAUGAAAUAGGACGUUGACCCUAUUUUGUUGGUUUCUAGGAUUGACGUAAUGAUUAAUAGGGAUAGUUGGGGCAUUAGUAUUCAAUUGUCAGAGGUGAAAUUCUUGGAUUUUAUUGAAGACUAACUACUGCGAAAGCAUUUUGCCAAGGAUGUUUUCAUUAAUCAAGAACGAAAGUUAGGGGAUCGAAGACGAUCAGAUACCGUCGUAGUCUUAACCAUAAACUAUGCCGAACUAGGGAUCGGAUGAUGUUAUUUUAAUG
rnacentral:rRNA from 1 species